GCAUUUAUUAGAACAAAACCAAGCGGCCUCGGUCGUUUUUUGUUGACUCAGAAUAACUCAGCUGAUCGCAUGGUCUUAGUACCGGCGACGUGUCUUUCAAGUAUCUGCCUUAUCAACUUUCGAUGGUAGUGUAUCUGACUACCAUGGUGGUGACGGGUAACGGAGAAUCAGGGUUCGAUUCCGGAGAAGGGGCCUGAGAAAUGGCCACUACGUCUAAGGAUGGCAGCAGGCGCGCAAAUUACCCACUCUCGGAACGAGGAGGUAGUAACGAAAAAUAACGAGACCGUUCUCUACGAGGCCGGUCAUCGGAAUGGGUACAAUCUAAACCCUUUAACGAGUAUCUAUGAGAGGGCAAGUCUGGUGCCAGCAGCCGCGGUAAUUCCAGCUCUCAAAAUGCAUAGAAUUAUUGCUGCGGUUAAAAAGCUCGUAGUUGAAUCUGUGCCCGGGACUUGGUCCACUAUUUUGGUGAGCACUAAGCUCUCGGGCUUUUUUGCCGGUUUUCUCGUCGUAGCCUUUAUUGGUUGCGGCCGGUGGCUGGCGAUUUUACUUUGAACAAAUCAGAGUGCUUAACACAGGCGUUUCGCUUGAAUGUUUUUGCAUGGAAUAAUAAAAAAGGAUUUCGGUUCAAUUUUAUUGGUUUUAUGGACUGAUGUAAUGGUUAACAGAGACAAACGGGGGCAUUCGUAUCGCUGCGUGAGAGGUGAAAUUCUUGGACCGCAGCGCGACGAACUACAGCGAAAGCAUUUGCCAAGAAUGUCUUCAUUAAUCAAGAACGAAAGUCAGAGGUUCGAAGGCGAUCAGAUACCGCCCUAGUUCUGA
rnacentral:rRNA from 1 species